GAUGAACGCUGGCGGCGUGCCUAAUACAUGCAAGUCGAGCGAACGGACGAGAAGCUUGCUUCUCUGAUGUUAGCGGCGGACGGGUGAGUAACACGUGGAUAACCUCCCUAUAAGACUGGGAUAACUUCGGGAAACCGGACUAAAACCGGGAAAAUUUUUUGACCCGCAGGUUUCAAAGGUAAAAGAGGUUUUUCUGUCCCCUUAAAGAGGAACCCCCGCGCUUUUGGCUGGUUGGAAGGGAACCGGCUCACAAAGGCAAGAUGGCAUAGCCCCCCGGGGGGGGGGUCCGGCACCCCGGGACUGAGACACGGUCCAAACCCCUACGGGAGGGCGCAGGAGGGAAUCUUCCGCAAUGGGGGAAAGCCUGACGGGGCAACGCCGCGUGAGGGAUGAAGGGCUUCGGAUCGUAAAACUCUGUUAUUAGGGAAGAACAUAUGUGUAAGUAACUGUGCACAUCUUGACGGUACCUAAUCAGAAAGCCACGGCUAACUACGUG
rnacentral:rRNA from 1 species